AAAAAGGGUAUCCGAGUCAGGGUUGCUAGCACCAAUUAGCAAGCCGAGUCGCACUGCGCCAUUGGGACCAUCUUGCAACCUUCGGGUGGCGGGUGGCGAGUUUCCAAUCUGCUCGCCCCUUCGAUGGAUCCAUCCCUGUGUGCCCAGUGGGGUAUGGCUUUGCAUAUCCGAGGCUCAAUUUUUGAAUGUGGGGCUUGACAGCUGCACCUUGCAAUGGUCCGUUUGGCAACGGACCUGUGCGCUGCGCCCCA